rnacentral:lncRNA from 1 species
GCCUAAGUUCGACUCCUCAUUUAGGUAUAUCUCGGUCUGUCGGUCGUUUUGUCUUUUUUUCUCUGUCUUUGGACUGGUGCUGAUCCUUUGUUAAAAUUACAGGCAUGCCGCCGAGGGUUAGGCUGACGGAUGCUGAUAUCUGACAAUAUGCGGCGAGGAAGAGGCCGGCGCAUGGAGCCGAACCAUCGCGGCCUCCCAAGAGGCCUCAGAUAGCAUCGCCGACUGACCCUGCGGCGAUAGGAGCACAGCCCGAUGCCGAACGGAUGUCGGGCUACGAGCCUGUCAUUGCUCUGUUGGCACCGACGAUGCCACCUGAGGCGCCAUCCGAGGAAGGGGCGACCG